rnacentral:rRNA from 1 species
CCUACGGGUGGCUGCAGUGGGGAAUAUUGCACAAUGGGGGAAACCCUGAUGCAGCGACGCCGCGUGAGUGAAGAAGGAAUUCGUUACGUAAAGCUCUAUCAGCAGGGAAGAAAAUGACGGUACCUGAGUAAGAAGCCACGGCUAACUACGUGCCAGCAGCCGCGGAAAUACGUAGGGGGCAAGCGUUAUCCGGAUUUACUGGGUGUAAAGGGAGCGUAGACGGUGGGCCAAGUCUGGAGUGAAAUGCCGCGGCUUAACUGCGGAACUGCGUUGGAAACUGGCGAACUAGAGUGCGGGAGGGGUAAGCGGAAUUCCUCGUGUAGCGGUGACAUGCUUAGAUAUUAUGCGGAACCCCGGUGGCGAAGGCGGCUUACUGGACCGUACCUGCCGUUGCGGCUCGAACGCGUGGGGAGCAAACAGGAUUAGAUACCCCUGUAGUC